rnacentral:rRNA from 1 species
AUGAUGUAUUUUUAUGUACCAAAAAUGAAUGAUGAAAAAAAGUUAAGGACUUGCAAAGAUAAAGGUACGCAGACAGGAUGCGUCCGGGAUGCGGCCGCGUGCUGGGCGCACGGCCACCGCAUCCCGGAAACUGUCUGGACACGACCUCAUUGCCCUACACAAACGUACAGAAUCCGGACAAACGGGCGUUCGUUUGGGGUCGCGCGGUGGAGUUGGCCUAACACAAGAAUCCCUUCUUCCAUGCCAGGAAUAGAGGGCAUUCUUUGGUUUCCUGCCCCCUCAUCAUCUUUAACCAAAGCAGAGAGGAAAUCGGGGAAAAUCAAGUGGCCUCUUGCACUACAAGUGAAAGUAGUCUACCGAAAGGAAAGGAAAGGAAGGAACCAACGAAUCCAAGGAAAAAGCAAGAAAAAGAGGCGAGCCAUGUUGAUGAUACUUGAUCACAGUAGCCAGCAGUAG